rnacentral:misc_RNA from 1 species
GAAAUGCGAUAAGUAAUGUGAAUUGCAGAAUUCAGUGAAUCAUCGAAUCUUUGAACGCACAUUGCGCCCGCCAGUAUUCUGGCGGGCAUGCCAGUUCGAGCGUCAUUACAACCCUCAGGCCCCCGGGCCUGGCGUUGGGGAUCGGCGGAAGCCCCCUGCGGGCACAACGCCGUCCCCCAAAUACAGUGGCGGUCCCGCCGCAGCUUCCAUUGCGUAGUAGCUAACACCUCGCAACUGGAGAGCGGCGCGGCCACGCCGUAAAACACCCAACUUCUGAAUGUUGACCUCGAAUCAGGUAGGAAUACCCGCUGAACUUAAGC